AGCAGCCAUCAUCAUGAAUCAAGUCGACAAUCAACUGGCAAAUCCUUUUCAUAUGAAGAGGAAUUAUAGAUAAAACGAAUCGGUGCUCAUCGGCCAUAAGCAUUGCACACGUUGGAAAUCGCAAAUUCAACAAUGAGUGGUUUGAAAGGAAUCAGUGGCUAACUACAAGCUUGGCAAAGCAAUCACUGGACUGCUAUUCAGUGGAGAGGGUGUGUGGUCCAAGUCUGGGUUUAAAGAACACCCUUUGUGUUUUGUUAGACACGUAACUCUUUUUACACAAUAUAGCAGGGGUGUAAAGCCAUAACACAUAAGUUUUUCCAGCAGCAGACUAUGAUCGAUAACGUCAAAAGCCGCACUGAAGUCUAACAAAGCAGCCCCCACAAUCGUUUUAUCAUCAAUUUCUCAUUGGGAGUGGAGACUGCUUUGCAGUGCUGUCUUCGGCUUCCAUGGCUCACGACAUGCGAUCAUCAUUGAUUGCCAUGCUCCGCUUGUUGUGCUCCUUCGACUCCGCUAUCAGAUGGGGGAGGAGAGGCAGAAGAUGGCUCCCCUGGCGAACAAACUCCGGGCAACACCGGUCAGUCGGAUAACGACAAACGAUAAGACAGAGAUGCAUCCAACAUGCGCGAACGCCUUCCACCCACCGGCGUAGAAAAGCUAAACAGGUAGCACUGGCGUGCGCACAUAGGAGAUCCCGUGAAAAAUGUGCCCGCCUAUGGAAUUCAAAGGCCUGUCUAACUGAUUCACCCGGCCCUGCAACAUGGUGUCCCAUAUUAAGUACUACUGCUUGGAUAGAUAGGAGGUAGAGGGGUUGCAAGCAUACAGAAACCACACAUACAAACAGUAUUGAACAUUAUUUGCCAAUAUCAUAACUGGAGCUGGACAUCUUUCAAGCUGAAAAUUGAGGCCAGAUUUUGUAUGCCAGCGUACACUCCUUAACAGUACUGGAUAAAAACACAGCAAGAAAACACUUGCUGGAAGUGUGUAGGACUGCUGUACCAAUUGUCCACAUUCAAAGUGUGUCCCUUGCCGAGAUGAGGAGCCAGCAUGGUCAUCACCGUGGAACCGGACACCUCAAGCCCCUCAUAAUGUUGGAUAUCAGUGGUUGAUCCUGUGUAGACUAUAAUGUCCUGGACAAAUGCUGUCUUCACGUCGCACAUAACAAAGCACUUGACCCCAAACCUGUGCCUUUUGGGUGGAAUAUAUUGACAGAACGCCAGCCUACCCUUCCAUAACAUCAGGGACUCAUCAAUGCAUUGGUCCUUGUAUGGCACAAAGACCCUACCAAAUGCUAAUGUCAAGCUGCUCCAAGGCAUAGCGGUUGGUCUCCUCUAGUAUGUCUCCCACCAGCUCCUCUGUCAGAAACAGCUUGAAGCACUCUGCCUCAGAGGGAAAUGGCAAGGGGCUUUGCAAUCCAGACUGGGACUCAUCAAAGCAAACAGCAGGGCCAGGAAAUGGCUGGCAGCCUUCCAGCUACCAUAGACCUCCUGUACAUUAUCCACUGUUGGUCUGCCUCCGUUAACAGGGGCAGCUCCUCAUUGUCCCUGUCACUGUCAGAAUCUGAUUCCUGACUUUGUCAGAAUUGUAAAAAAUCUUUCCGCAUUUGUGAGUUGUCUUCUUUUGAAAGACAUUGUUAAUGCUACAGCUUAGCUCACUAGCUACAUACAUAAAGAACAACACUGAAUCGCUCAGAGUGGGAGUGAGAGGUUACGUGAUUGACUGCCUGCAUGCGCCAUUUGUAUCAAUAAAUCACUAUCAGAAAAUGUUUUGUGUGGUAAUAAUUUAUUUACUGUUUUAUUCACGUAUUCAAGUACUAGUCACAAAUCAUGCAUUCCGAUUCUUGCAUAGAUUGUAAUGGACACAUAUUAUGUGUGUAAAAUACUUUUUUGAAGGUUGUAUUGAUUAUGAUGAGCUAAGCUAAUUCCAGCUAUGUGUGGAGCCAUGUUUGUUGAAAUAUAACACAUUCUGGGUUUCACAUAAACGUCUGUCGGACCAAGGAUGUUAUAACAAAAUGAGGUGAGGGAGGGUUCACUCCCUUUUUGAGUAAACUUCCAGAAGUGAAUCAUGGGAUGUGAAUGAUGGUAGACGACACACCCCCUUCAACAUGCAUACUAUAAACAGACCAAACUCAUCUUGUCUCCUCUUAUCUUUGGUUGAUGAGAAAAAACAAACAUGGCGGCGUGCACAAACUACCCAUCAUUGGAUUACUUUCAAUUUCUAGAAAGUGUUUUACUCAAUUAUUUCGAUCAAUGGUGAGCUCACCCGUGAUGUGAUUAUUUUUAGUAAUAGCUAUUAUAGUAAUAUCUAUUAGCUAAUUCCUGCUGUAGUUUCUGUCAACCGAGAGUUAUGAAAAUAUGAAUGCUUAUGUUACGUCAAUCUUUCCUCAGUUAGCGCUAGGAUAUAUUUAGCCUACAUUUUCCGGUUUGGAUGAUUGUGUUAUGUUGUAGCUACUUCUGUGAAUGUCUGAACAUUGUAUCCAAAAAUAAACUGGUCACAUUCUGGACAUAACUUUACAAGGACUGUGUUUGUGCAAAAUGUUUCUGUGAAAAAAAACAGUGUGGCCAGCUCAAAUGCUGACUGUUGCAUCAAUCGAAACUGGACGUUCUAAAUAAGCAUUCUAAUCACAUCGGUUUGAGCGUACGCUGCAGGGACCACUGUAGAAUGAUCACACCCGUUUGUUGGUUGGUGUGAAGAAGUUAAGGGCCACUACCAUCAUGGUGACCAGUCUUCUACUUUCCCUCUUUCCCCUCAUGUUAAUGCUUGUUUGAUGGAAAUGCUCGUAAGUCAUUUCCUAUUAGGUUGAGACUUAGUCUCAAAAGGGAGGAUAUGUGGAGGAAAUUAAUUCAUUACAUACUAUGCUGUUUAAUUAGGCAUACUAUGCUGUUUUUUACUUUCCGCCAAACAAGUCAAGGUUUUGUUGUCCUCCGCAAUGAAAUGGGGGAGUGGAUCUGUCUCUGUCCAUUCAUACGUUCGUCACACGCAAUUCUCAGACAGCACUGGCCCGCACUUGGGUGAAUGAUGCGUCUUGCCAUAGAGAUCCAGCAUUUAGAGAAUUAUACUGAUUGGCCCAAGGCAGGAACUAUAGUAAAUAACUGAAAUGUGUUAGUCACACGCAAUAUCUCAAUUGGCCCAAGGGGACUGAAUCAUUUGUGGGGGACGACAUGUUUACCUUUGCCUUGUAUACAUACCAAGUAAAUAUUGUCAAUUGUUAACAGUGGAGACAGUACCAGAGUCUCUGAAAGGGGAUGACCUAUGAUAUGGACUGGAAAUAGUCUGAUUCAGUUUCAUUUUUCUGAUGUGAUAUUUGAAGGCUACAAAAGUUAUCUUUGGAAGAAAAGUAUUUUCUAUUCAAGUUAAUUUGCUCGAGACCUGACACUGCCUUUCAACUAAUCUAUUUUGUGUUCCAACCCUUAGGAAACUAUGAGAAGGUAGUUGUUCCACUGACCAACUGCAGUUCCACCAUAUUCCUUACACCAGUCUAUUCCUUUUAAGCCCAUGAAGGUGAUUGUAUGAGUGCUUACUUUGACUUAGGGUAAAGAGUAGGCUUAUGUCCUGAUUGUCCACCCAUCUCCCAAAAUGUGCAAUGUCAUGAAUUGUAUGAUGGAAACUCCCUCUAUAGCCAAUGACUAGAUCAAUUCAAUGUUUAUAAAUUUAUGGUGGGGGAGAAGAGUGGUGAAUCGGGAAACAGAAAGUCUCAUUCACACUUCAUUUGCCCUUGACCACCCUGGUGCAUUUGACUGACCUCUUCUGUUUUAAGUUUCCACACAUGCUAACCAAUACAUAAGUUGUGCUCCUUUUUCACAGAUGUUUCAGGCUGAUGACCUGUCUCCAUAGCUGAGAGAAACAGAGGAGGAACAUCACUUUGUCCCCAAUUCUACUUCUAAUGUUUCUAACUGUACUGAUGAGGAAGAAGAGGGCAGACUUAUCCACUAUUGUGAAACUGUUCAGUCAAAUUUACAUUGCCACUUUGUUACCAGAAACAAGUCACAUGUUCAAUAAGGUAUUCUGCAAAUAGAAUUACAAUACAAAAAUGGUCUUGCUCUUCAGUGAAGUUCUGCCAAUUGUAUGCUGUAAACCAUUAUCAAGGAAACUUAGUUGAACACGUUGUGUAAAUUGUAACAUGUUUCUUGAACACCAGUGAUUCCAAGGACAAGAAUAACUGUUACCUGUAGAACAAUGUCUCUAUCACAGGUCACUAAUACAAUUAUUUGUUAAUUGUGCAGACUGAUUGCUAUGGCAUGGACAUGACAAAGCAAUGAACUAACUAAACACUUAUCGGCUAUUAUGCCUCUCAAUUUCCAGUCGACAUUUGCAAGAAAAAAGUCAUUAUGCAGUAUAGCUAUACCGAUGGCUAGCGGCUUUGACAGUAUUGAGUCAAGCAAGUUUUACUGUUUCACAGAAUAUGGUGAUGGAGGGGAAGUCAGGUGGGCAUCUCCAGUCAGAACAGGACCUGCACAAACUUUAUCAAAUGAUAACCUCAUGAUGCACACUGGCAGAGAUGUCAACCAGCAGUAUUUGUAAAGACUGUCUCACCGAGGACUGUAAUGAAAGGCGGCCUAAGGGGUUCUUCUCCCAGUCAC